rnacentral:rRNA from 1 species
GAUGAACGCUGGCUACAGGCUUAACACAUGCAAGUCGAGGGGAAACGCCGGGGAAGCUUGCUUCCCCGGGCGUCGACCGGCGCACGGGUGAGUAACGCGUAUCCAACCUGCCUCUGACUGAGGGAUAACCCGUCGAAAGUCGGCCUAAUACCUCAUGGCAUCGUCUGCGGGCAUCCAACGACGAUUAAAGAUUUCAUCGGUCAGGGAUGGGGAUGCGUCUGAUUAGCUUGUUGGCGGGGUAACGGCCCACCAAGGCUACGAUCAGUAGGGGUUCUGAGAGGAAGGUCCCCCACAUUGGAACUGAGACACGGUCCAAACUCCUACGGGAGGCAGCAGUGAGGAAUAUUGGUCAAUGGGCGGGAGCCUGAACCAGCCAAGUAGCGUGCAGGAGGACGGCCCUAUGGGUUGUAAACUGCUUUUAGGCGGGGAUAAAGUGAGGGACGUGUCCUUCAUUGCAGGUACCGCAUGAAUAAGGACCGGCUAAUUCCGUG